GACGAACGCUGGCGGCGCGCCUAACACAUGCAAGUCGAACGAGCGAGAGGAGGUUUACUUUCUCAAGCGAGUGGCGAACGGGUGAGUAACGCGUGAGGAACCUGCCUCAAAGAGGGGGACAACAGUUGGAAACGACUGCUAAUACCGCAUAAGCCCACGACCCGGCAUCGGGUAGAGGGAAAAGGAGCAAUCCGCUUUGAGAUGGCCUCGCGUCCGAUUAGCUAGUUGGUGAGGUAAUGGCCCACCAAGGCGACGAUCGGUAGCCGGACUGAGAGGUUGACCGGCCACAUUGGGACUGAGACCCGGCCCAGACUCCUACGGGAGGCAGCAGUGGGGAAUAUUGCACAAUGGGGGAAACCCUGAUGCAGCGACGCCGCGUGGAGGAAGAAGGUCUUCGGAUUGUAAACUCCUGUUGUUGAGGAAGAUAAUGACGGUACUCAACAAGGAAGUGACGGCUAACUACGUG
rnacentral:rRNA from 1 species